AUCCCCUCAUUUGAUGGCCAGAAUUUCGCUGCGAAAUUUCAGAUGCCAGCAACAAAAAAUUCGCGUCAUGAGGAUCGAGGUUUCCGUGGAAGGAAAUUCAAUUAAAAUUAUUCUACCAUUGAUGGCCUCUAUUAUGUUUCGAAAAACCAAACAAAAAAUCCAAGUCAUUUUUCUCUCUUCUUACAUUGAAUGGCUAUUUUGGAGUUUUUCACAUUAUUCUCAUCCCCGGGAACAAACGACUUGAAUAUUAAAAUUUAUCUGAGGUGCGAUUCUUCAAGGAUGGAAAUUUAACUAAACUUCUUCCUUUGAAAAUUUGUGUGGAUACAAUCCGUCAAUGUGGACCAUAAACAUUUGGAAAGCAAACACUGGGGGAUUAUUUUGAAGUGACCUGGCAGUAAUUAUAUUG